UUUUUUUUUUGGUCUUUUUUUGAUCUUUUUAGGGCCACACCUGUGGCACAGGGAGGUUCUCAGGCUAGGGGGUCUAAUUGGAGCUGUUGCCUCUGGCCUACGCCAGAGCCACAGCAACACCAGAUCCAAGCCACGUCUGCGACUUGCACAACAGCUCAUGGCAACGCCGGAUCCUCAACCCACUAACCAAGGCCAGGGAUAGAACCUGCUACCUCAUGGUUCCUAGUCGGAUUUGUUUCUGCUGCGCCACGACAGAAAUUCCUUUCUUUCCCCCUGUUCUUUUCUUUUUUUAGGGCUACGCCCACGGCAUAUGUAAGUUCCUGGGCUAGGGGUUGAAGCAGAGCUGCAGCUGCCAGCCUACACCAUAGCCACAGCAAUGCGGGAUCCGAGCUGCAUCUGUGACCUACGCCACAGCUCAUGGCAAUGCUGGAUCCUUAGCCCACCGAGCGAGGCCAGGGAUCGAAUCUGUGUCCUCAUGGACACUAUGUUGGGUUCUUAACCCGCUGAGCCAUAAUGGGAACUCCUGGCAAGGUCUUUAGUUUUCAGUGCCAGCCGUGGGCAGAGCCAUUCAGAGGAUGGAGUAUUUUGGAAGGAGAAGGGGGCGCUUCUGUCCAUCUAAACGGGGCGGGGGGGGGGGAAGGGAAGAGGCCGGAGAGGCCCGAGAGCCACCUGAGCGAUCCUGGAGAAGUAGGGGCGUGCCCAGACCCCUCUCAGGUCUCGGCAUAGACCGCAAGGCUGGGCAGAGACUUCCUUCAUAAAGAUGUCCAGUGGCAGGCGUGCUCAAUUAAGAACAGAAAUUUAAAGCCACGGGUAUCUGAGGAUAUGCAUUUUGUUUUUGGUUUUAACCGCAGAAGUGAACUCAGCUGGCUAUUUUAAGAAGGGGGAAUAAAAACACUGACAACGGUUCCUAGUUCCAAAAGAAUGACGGCUGACCUCCCGAGCUCUGGGCUGGUGGCAGUAACCUCGGAGGCCCUGGGUGGCAGUGGCUCUGCCCUUGUCCCCACCUCCUGAAGAAGCCAAGCCCUGCAAACUGCCUGCCGUUGUCUGGGGCUGGCAGGGGGUGGAUGGGGGCCUCUAGGCACCCAUCUGUCUGCUCUGCAGUCUGUCCUCUCCGUGUGGGGCUGGUGUGGACACAGCCAGGGUGGUGGCACGGCUUUUGGGGGUGGGGGGACGAGUCUGGCCCCACAUCUGAACUUGGAGACCAGGGCCAAGAUCCGGGCCGGAGCCUCGGUUUCCUCCUCUGCGAAACCGGGAGAAGCCCGCCUCCCUCACAGGCCUCGAGGCUUUUCAGCCAGACGGGGACGGCGACAGGUAACUGCCAAGUGCCGUGACCGUGACUUGGGCUGAGGGCAGGAACGAGUGGCCACCAGAGACGCUCCCGAGCCAGGCCCCUGGCGCCAGCCCGUUCGUCCUCCAGGGCACCCCGAGUACCUGGAGAGCCCCCACCUUAGCCGUGGGGGUGGCCCUGCUUUGCAGGAGGCCAUCUCUGCAGGUGCUCAGGGGACCCGAGGUCGGUGUGGGUGUGAGCCAAGCCCAGCAGCUCCUGCCCAGGUCGGCCCCCCGGGGGAGCAGCCUAGAGCCUUCUCCCCGCCACCCUGCGUUCGGGCACUGAGUCCUGAGGGUUCCAGCUGCUCCGGGUACCUUGGAGCUGUCUACCUCAUCAUCACAGUGACAGCUCUGGUUCCGGCCCAGCCCUUCCCCACUCUCCCCUUCCAACAGGAAUCUGAGCAGCACUGUUCCCUGUCUCAAUGUCGUCCAUGACCCCCCCACCACCCAGGGGUCAAGACCUGGACCUCAGCAGGGGCGGAGAGGGACACUGGCUCAGCCUUGAUGUGCUGUAUACUCCCUUCCUCUGCCGGCCUGGCAGAGGAUGGAUAAACUGAGGGGCACAGAGAGGCCAGUGGCUUGGCCAUGGUCACACAGCUUGUAUGCUGAGAGUGGAGAUCGGAAUCCAAAGAGGUCUGGUUCCCCAGUCUGUACUUAACCACCAGGUUAUGUGCCUCUCACACACACUGAACGCGCGUCCUCCAGGCCCCGGGAGACGUGGCAGAACAAACCCACCCGGUGCCACCCUCAGGACGCCUACAGUCCACAGGGAGGCCACAGUGACCUGACAAAAGGCAAAAAUGCCACGAGAGAAACAAGCAGGCGCUGGGCAGUACCAGGGGGUGAGAUUCGGAUAUGCCCACGGGAGCCCAGCGUCAGCCCUGCAAUGCUGCCUCUGACAGGGUCAACUGUGCCAGCGUGCAUCGUGCACUGCGGUGGUAAUACCGUGGACAACAGUGACAGGUGACCAGCCUUCACUGAUGUCAGCCUGGGCAGGACGCCGCAUGUACCUCCUCUCUUGUCACCCCCUAGAGCCCCCACUGCGUGUGGGGGCAGUCAACACCCACGCCGUGAAGUGGAGGCAAAGGAGAUGCAGAGCUGGCCUGGGGGGGGCUCUGGGCUGGGGUGCUCUCAAGACCUCUGCCCCCAUCUGCCUUGGGUGGACUCUCAGCGCUGGGGACAUUUCUGUCUCACUGGGGCCCAUUCUCUGGUUGGGACGGGAGCAGAGGUUCGUCCAGCAUCUACAGAAGGGCUGGCUGAAGCCCCAGGCCACCUCAGCGCUCCAACUCAGCACUGAGCACCUGUCCCCACCCUGCCCCGGGAACAUUCCUGGUGUUUCACUGACCCUACGCUCCCUCUUCCACUCUUGAGCGCCUCUGACAUUGGGAUGUUUCUCCAAACGACCUGUCAGAGCUCAGCUGGCAGUUUCUUCUUUCUCGAUUCAAUGAAGCAUGGUUUGCAAAUCGCAAAGAACUGUCUUUAAGGCGAAGGCCAACGGCAGCCCUAGUUCCACCCUGACUAUGACCUCGUUCAGGCAGGGCUCACCGACCCGGGGGACAGGGACAGAAUGGCAGGUAGCUGACCAUGACCAAGUGAGCAGGGACAUGACACGCCAGCUCCAGCCAGAGGCUCCUCUUCCCACGACCGGUGCCCCCGCAAGGGUCCUUUCAUUCAGACCACAUGCAACUCUGCAGUGUAACAGCCACCAACUAAUACCACUCAAAGGAACCACGGUGACCCUUUGGGGAGACGUCCUUCUGGUCUAGAAGAUUUCCUUUUUUACUGCUCAGGCUUCAAAAAACAAAAUUUUUCAAAAUUUUCAAAAAAAUUUUUUAAAAGUGUAUAAGGCUAUGGUGCUUAUGGCUUGUUUUUAAGUAAGAGUCCUAUUCUGUACCUUUUGAGAUGCGCUGAAGUACUUAUGAAUGAAAUGAUAGGAUGUUUGGAAUCUGCUGUGAGCAGCGCGCACCCCUCCGUGCCCCUCCCCUCCCCUCCCAACCUACCACCUGCCUCCAGCCCUUGCCCGGCGCCCCUUUAUCCCAUCUGCCCCCGCAACUGCCUGCCAGAUGCCCUCUUCCUGCCCAUCUAGUCUCCCUCCCACGACACGCUCUGAGCAGCUGCUGUUUGAGGAGCCCUGUGCCAGGUGCCAGGCACUGGAGAGGCAAAGAAGAACAGAGUCCCUGUCCCUGGGGACAGGGACAGUGCGAACAGCUGGACAGACAUGUUCAGUGCAAAAUGACAAGUGCCGGGACUGAGGUCAGUCCAGGGUGCUGGGGGCGCCGGGAGGAAGGGUCGGCACCUGCAGGGCCCGGGAAGGCUUCAACAACGAGGAGGUGCCGUCUGAGCUGCGCACAGAGCGGCCAGGCUGAGGAAGGCCGGGGAGGGACGUUCUGGUGGAGGAGGAGCAUGCGCUGAACAGAUGAAUCAAGGAUGAAAAACUGAGGAUGGCGCGUAGGGGAGGAGAGAAGACGGCCUUGAGGGUCCGUCUAAAGGACUGGGGAGAAGGGAAAUCAGGGAGGGAGAAGAGGCAGGGUGAGACCUGGAAGACGGAGGAGCCUGCAGGAGGCUGGGGUCCAGGAGGGAGUGGGGGUGGCCGGAGGAGGAGGAGGAGGAGGAGGAGGGAAACGAUGCCGAGAGCUCGGCAGACCAAUCCUGGAAGCUGGACAGAGGGAAUCAGGCAUAGACCCCCCCCAGCCACUCCUCCCUGCCCCCACCAAAGCAGACAUCUCACCCCCAUGGGCCAGCACCCAGCCCUGAUCCCCGGGGUGCAUGGGGUGUCUGCGGGGCUGAGGAGGGGAGGGGAGGGGAGGGGAGAGCCUUAUUUCCAGGCUCCUUCCUGUUUCUCUUCUGGGCACCAGCAUGGGAGAAAAAGUGCCUGGAGGUUGGGCCCGGGGGGCCAUAUGCUUAGGACACAAAGCCUACGUGCUCAGGACGUUGAAAGAGAGCACGGGGAAAGACACUGCUGAGCUGUCCAAGCAACCCCGACACUGUCCAGCUUCAACUUCUUGCCAGGGGAGCCCAGUGCCCGGGGCCAGGUCUCCUAUCUGUCUUGCAGCCAUUGCACCCCGAAGCCUGGAGGCAGAAUGGGGCGUGGAGGCCCGGCCUUCUUCCAGCUUCCUACUCCCUGCGGGGUCUGCCCUGACCCCCGGAGGGCCUUCCCCUCCACAGGCUGGGCCAACAGCAUUUGGCGUGGACCACAGCUAUAAGCUCUAUUCAGUGAUAAAAUAAUUCUGUAGUAUUUACUUCUUUUGUUUCUUUGUCUCUCCCAUUAGGCUGCGAGCUCAAGGGUGGAGAUUACAGCUCAUGAGUCAUCGAAUGCUCUACACCAGACAAACAGGACCGGGCCUGUGAAAAACCUGCUGUACGUGUUUGAUGAAUGACUGAAUGAAGGAUGAGGCCAUAUUCCCCAGGACAAUAAACCCUCAGAGCACUUUAAGUGAAACACUCCCGCUCUUGGGUCCUCUUGGCUCCCCUAGGAGAGGUUAGGUAGAAAUCCCAACCUUUCUUCCACUCAGCAGGCCUAGGAAUAAUUUCAAAAAGGAUCACGUCCCUCCCUAAUGGGACCUGCGCGCUACCAUCCUCAGUUCCUGGGACCGCUCGGCACCGGACGUGACCUCACCCUUCCCAUCGACGCCCUUGGGACAAGGCCAGCGUGCUGUCCAUGCGGCACGCGCUGUGGGAACGCACCCACCUGCCCACGUUGGAUACGGCAUUUGUGUUAAUUCACCCUGAACACGUUAGAUGUGUACUAACUCUACUGCAUGGAGCUGACUCCAGCCGAUUCUGUGAAAAGACACUCUCCGCUGGGCCACGCUCUUCAGUCUUUCCUGCAGCUAGAAGAGGCCCUGUGACCCAGCUCUGAGGCAUAAAAGGAAUUCGCUUCCCCAGCGGCUCCUGGGGAUGGUUUUGCUCUCCUGAUAACAGAGGCAGUGGCGGCGCGUACGUUCCCCUGUGCUUUCUGUUAAGCGGGGACAAGCGGGAGGAGGAAACCAAUACCCUAAAGGGGGGCAGCGGGGGGGAGAAGAAAUACACAAAAGCACCCUUAUGAGCAAACUCAUCCCAGAUGGACCCUGGACUCAGACAUUUUCACUCCAAAGGCAACCCGGCAGGUAUCUUUUAUUUCUAAGGUAACUGGCACAACAAUGUAAAUCAACUAUAAUUUAAGAAUGUAAAAAAAAAAAAAAUAAUUCUAAGGGGAAGCAUUGGGGUGGACAAGUUAGGAGAGUGGGAUCUGGACACAGGCAAAGCCCACUUCAAGUCCUGACCUGAGCAUUCAUUAGCUGUGUGACUCCGAAUAAAUUCCUUAACCUCUCUGUGCCCUAGUUCCUCCCUGCAGAACAGAGAUAACCAAAGCACUCACCUUCCAAGGCUGUGUGAGCAGGAAAUGACAAGAUGCAUUUCAGGGGCUUUGUGUCCCACCAAGCACAACAGCCAGCACCAAGACAAAAACAUCAACCCCCCAAGACACUGAAAAUUUCAAGCAUUCCCAGGAAAUAGAUUUUUAAAUCACAUAUAUGCAGAAGUCCUUUUUUUUUUUUUUUUCUCUCCUGGCCAGCAAACUGCCCUGAAGGCUACUUUCCCAAUGAACUGCUCUUUCCAGACCUA
ensembl:lncRNA